CCUACGGGAGGCUGCAGUGGGGAAUAUUGCGCAAUGGGGGAAACCCUGACGCAGCGACGCCGCGUGGGUGAUGAAGGCCUUCGGGUCGUAAAGCCCUGUCGGAGGGGAAGAAGGACUCUCGUGCAAAUAGUUCGAGGGUUUGACGGUACCCUUAGAGGAAGCACCGGCUAACUCCGUGCCAGCAGCCGCGGUAAUACGGAGGGUGCAAGCGUUGCUCGGAAUUACUGGGCGUAAAGGGCGUGUAGGCGGUUUCGUAUGUCUGGCGUGAAAGCCCCGGGCUCACCUCGGGAAGUGCGUCGGAAACUGCGAGACUAGAGUCCCGGAGAGGGAGGUGGAAUUCCAGGUGUAGCGGUGAAAUGCGUAGAUAUCUGGAAGAACACCGGUGGCGAAAGCGGCCUCCUGGACGGUAACUGACGCUGAGACGCGAAAGCGUGGGGAGCAAACAGGCUUAGAUACCCCAGUAGUC
rnacentral:rRNA from 1 species